GAACAUCAAAUCUUAUCUGAAUUUUCAGUCAAAAUAUGUUUUUUUUUCUAUAUGUUGUUAUAGUUUUUUAACAUUGUCAUAAAGCGGGAGGUUUGACAUGUCAUUAAUCCACCAUUUUUGUCAUUAAAUGUCCUGUACCAAGUCAUGAAUAUUGUAGUUGUUAUCAAAUAGUUCAUUUCUAUGUGUGGUGGCGUUUGUUUGUGUUGCACUUCGAUUUUCCUCUUGUACCUGUUGUUUCAUUGUAGUUCUAUAAUUGAUGUGUUUACUUCGGUUUUGGUUUGUAACCCUGAUUUGUUUUUUUUUCUCAAUAAUUGUUUUUAUUUUUGAAAACCGGUAACUACUGUUGCCUUUAUAUAUUAAUCAUUUUAUCAUUGAAAAAAUAGUGUGUUAUUUAUCUUUUCCAGUAGAAACUACGAGAUAACGUUUAUGAUAAACCUAUACCAAGUUUCCACAGUUUUAUAUUCUAACAC
rnacentral:lncRNA from 1 species